rnacentral:rRNA from 1 species
AUUGAACGCUGGCGGAAUGCUUUACACAUGCAAGUCGAACGGCAGCACGGGGGCAACCCUGGUAGCGAGUGGCGAACGGGUGAGUAAUGUAUCGGAACGUACCCCGUCGUGGGGGAUAACUCUCCGAAAGGAGAGCUAAUACCGCAUACGACCUGAGGGUGAAAGCGGGGGACCUGCAAGGGCCUCGCGCGAUGGGAGCGGCCGAUAUCGGAUUAGCUAGUUGGUGAGGUAAAGGCUCACCAAGGCGACGAUCCGUAGCGGGUCUGAGAGGACGACCCGCCACACUGGAACUGAGACACGGUCCAGACUCCUACGGGAGGCAGCAGUGGGGAAUUUUGGACAAUGGGGGAAACCCUGAUCCAGCCAUUCCGCGUGAGUGAAGAAGGCCUUCGGGUUGUAAAGCUCUUUCAGCAGGAACGAAACGGUAGGCUUUAAUACAGUUUGCUAAUGACGGUACCUGCAGAAGAAGCACCGGCUAACUACGUGCCAGCAGCCGCGGUAAUACGUAGGGUGCGAGCGUUAAUCGGAAUUACUGGGCGUAAAGCGUGCGCAGGCGGCGACAUAAGACAGAUGUGAAAUCCCCGGGCUCAACCUGGGAACUGCGUUUGUGACUGUGUUGCUAGAGUGUAGCAGAGGGGGGUGGAAUUCCACGUGUAGCAGUGAAAUGCGUAGAGAUGUGGAGGAACACCGAUGGCGAAGGCAGCCCCCUGGGUUAACACUGACGCUCAUGCACGAAAGCGUGGGGAGCAAACAGGAUUAGAUACCCUGGUAGUCCACGCCCUAAACGAUGCCAACUAGGUGUUGGGGGAGGAGACUUCCUUAGUACCGUAGCUAACGCGUGAAGUCGGGCCGCCUGGGGAGUACGGUCGCAAGAUUAAAACUCAAAGGAAUUGACGGGGACCCGCACAAGCGGUGGAUGAUGUGGAUUAAUUCGAUGCAACGCGAAAAACCUUACCUACCCUUGACAUGUCCGGAAUCCUGAAGAGAUUUGGGAGUGCUCGAAAGAGAACCGGAACACAGGUGCUGCAUGGCUGUCGUCAGCUCGUGUCGUGAGAUGUUGGGUUAAGUCCCGCAACGAGCGCAACCCUUAUCAUUAGUUGCCAUCAUUUAGUUGGGCACUCUAAUGAGACUGCCGGUGACAAACCGGAGGAAGGUGGGGAUGACGUCAAGUCCUCAUGGCCCUUAUGGGUAGGGCUUCACACGUCAUACAAUGGUCGGUACAGAGGGUUGCCAACCCGCGAGGGGGAGCUAAUCUCACAAAGCCGAUCGUAGUCCGGAUCGCAGUCUGCAACUCGACUGCGUGAAGUCGGAAUCGCUAGUAAUCGUGGAUCAGCAUGUCACGGUGAAUACGUUCCCGGGUCU